UACUGGUUGCCCUUUCCUUAACAGGUCACACAUAUUGGGUAUGAAGGUAAGACCACGUCAGACCACGUCAAAUAAACAAUAGUUUAAUAAUCCAACAGGGGCGAUAGACAGGUCAAGGCAGGCAGGGGUCAGUAACCAGAGGUGGGGCAACGGUACCGGGCGGCAGGCAGGCAGGGGUCAGUAACCAGAGGUGGGGCAACGGUACCGGGCGGCAGGCAGGGUCAAGGCAGGCAGGGGUCAGUAACCAGAGGUGGGGCAACGGUACCGGGCGGCAGGCAGGCAGGCAGGCAGGCUCAGGGUCAGGGUAAGGCAGGAGUCAGUAACCAGAGGCGGGGCAACGGUACCGGGCGGCAGGCAGGCUCAGGGUCAGGGUAAGGCAGGGGUCAGUAACCAGAGGUGGAGCAACGGUACCAGACGGCAGGCAGGCAGGCUCAGGGUCAGGGUAAGGCAGGGUUCAGUAACCAGAGGUGGGGCAAUGGUACCGGGCGGCAGGCAGGCUCAGGGUCAGGGUAAGGCAGGGGUCAGUAACCAGAGGCGGGGCAACGGUACCGGGCGGCAGGCAGGGUCAGGGUAAGGCAGGGGUCAGUAACCAGAGGUGGGGCAACGGUACCGGGCGGCAGGCAGGGUCAGGGUAAGGGUAAGGCAGGAGUCAGUAACCAGAGGCGGGGCAACGGUACCGGGCGGCAGGCAGGCUCAGUGUCAGGGUAAGGCAGGGGUCAGUAACCAGAGGUGGGGCAACGGUACCGGGCGGCAGGCUCAGGGUCAGGGUAAGGCAGGGGUCAGUAACCAGAGGUGGGGCAACGGUACCGGGCGGCAGGCAGGCUCACGGUAAGGGUAAGGCAGGAGUCAGUAACCAGAGGUGGGGCAACGGUACCGGGCGGCAGGCAGGCUCAGUGGAAACGCAUCUUGCUG
ensembl:lncRNA